CAGUAGCCGCGGUAAUACGAAGGGUGCAAGCGUUAAUCGGAAUUACUGGGCGUAAAGCGUGCGUAGGCGGUGAGUUAAGUCUGCUGUGAAAUCCCCGGGCUCAACCUGGGAAUGGCAGUGGAUACUGGCUCGCUAGAGUGUGUCAGAGGAUGGUGGAAUUCCCGGUGUAGCGGUGAAAUGCGUAGAGAUCGGGAGGAACAUCAGUGGCGAAGGCGGCCAUCUGGGACAACACUGACGCUGGGGCACGAAAGCGUGGGGAGCAAACAGGAUUAGAUACCCCCGUAGUCCAUGUCUCUUAUAC
rnacentral:rRNA from 1 species